UGGGGAAUAUUGCGCAAUGGGGGGAACCCUGACGCAGCCAUGCCGCGUGAAUGAAGAAGGCCUUNGGGUUGUAAAGUUCUUUCGGUAUUGAGGAAGGUUGAUGUGAUAAUAGCACAUCAAAUUGACGUUAAAUACAGAAGAAGCACCGGCUAACUCCGUGCCAGCAGCCGCGGUAAUACGGAGGGUGCGAGCGUUAAUCGGAAUAACUGGGCGUAAAGGGCACGCAGGCGGUUAUUUAAGUGAGGUGUGAAAGCCCUGGGCUUAACCUGGGAAUUGCAUUUCAGACUGGGUAACUAGAGUACUUUAGGGAGGGGUAGAAUUCCACGUGUAGCGGUGAAAUGCGUAGAGAUGUGGAGGAAUACCGAAGGCGAAGGCAGCCCCUUGGGAAUGUACUGACGCUCAUGUGCGAAAGCGUGGGGAGCAAACAGGAUUAGAUACCCUGGUAGUCCACGCUGUAAACGCUGUCGAUUUGGGGGUUGGGGUUUAACUCUGGCGCCCGUAGCUAACGUGAUAAAUCGACCGCCUGGGGAGUACGGCCGCAAGGUUA
rnacentral:rRNA from 1 species